ensembl:processed_transcript
ACUUGGCCGCUUCUCCGCGCUGGAAAAGUCGUUGCUGGGCGACGCUCGCAGCAACGCGUUCCUAGGAAGUCNGUGCGCGUCCGCAGCUUGCGGUCUGGGCGCUGCUUGUGAACUGCACUGGAUGCGGAGUCCGAGUGCGCUUGAGCCCUAGGACAGGGACAGGGGCGCCGGACUGCUACGCAGGGCUCUCGGAAGUGAGUUCUCAGGGGUCUGGAACCUCUCUCUGCCCCUUGACGUCACCAGGAGGUAGUCCUGGAAACAAGGAUCCUGAGAUGGAGAGGCGCUGCCACAAUGGAAAAAUCGGACGCAGACGCGAGAAGUUCUGUGCUGUCUGGGACGCAGGAGGAGGAGAGUCCUCGUCACUGGGAGNCCAGCUCCGCCGCUCCUGCCCGGAUGCUCGGUGGUCCGCAGAUGAAAGCUCCCUUCUUAGUCGCUGACUCAGGACUAUGAUGGCAGUAGCACUCAGAGGUGGCUUAAUGGAGAGCAUACCUUUAUUCGUCUUUUGCUCGCAGAUCUCUUAGCCACCCUUCCCUGCCCGCUCUGUGAUGUACAGAAUGCGGACACACUCCCUGUACAAAUGGUACCUGCUGGAGCUCAGCCAGUUGAAGCCAACGAUGGAAAACUUCAAGAGAAGACUCUCUGGCUUCAGCCUGGAAUUUGACUAUGACUCUAACAAGCCGAGACUCUCAACACCUCAGCUCUCAGCCCAUUCUUAGCUCCAGCCUAUUUUGUACUACCCACACAGAUGAUGGUCCAUCANAAGGUCUAGAAUAAGGCCAUAGUGACUAACGUCAGCCAUUCCUGGUGUUUAUUCCACCCCGGGGCCAGUAGCUAACCUUCAGGUGAUCCACUUUUCUGUUUCCAUCACCCAUGUAGCCAGAGCUCAGUCCUCAAUCCCUGUAGUCUCUGUUUUGUUGAGUGUUCCUAGCACUGCCCUUGGUAAUAGGAGUGAUCCCAGCAAGAAGUCUUAAGGUGGUUUUCUGGACUGAACACUCACACAUUUAAUUGCACAUGUAUUGACAGUUAUUUGAGGGUGGCCAAUGAGCCAGGAAAAGCCAGAGCGGUUUGCCAUUNNNNNNNNNNNNNNNNNNNNNNNNNNNNNNNNNNNN